AACAUGAGGUCUGAGGUGAUCACGAGACGCUUCCUCUUUGGUUUUCUUUUGCUUACCAUCAUGUUCCUUGCAUGCAGCUUGUUCGUCACCGUCACCGGUGAAAAAAUGGAGAAACUAGUUCAUGCAAAAAAUAUAGAAGAAUUGUUUGGAGCCGUAACCGUAAGUCAAAGGAAAUGGCAACCUUUGCUCUUGGCAAAACUACAGGAGGAACGAACGAUACCAAGCCCACCGCCGCCAGCUCCUAGAGCGCCCCCAGGGAAUCGCCCCUAGGCCCGCCCUAACAGACAUUUCUUGAUGUGGUGUAAAUGUCAUAAAUAAAUUUUACUCUAAAUGUCAGUUCAGCAACAACUAUGCAUUGAAUAAAUGUGUUAACAGAAGAUCGACACAUUACACUUUGAGUUAACUUGUUCCUUCAAUUGAUUUUUUAACUACAGAAUUUGGUCAAUGACAAAUUGGUGAUGAAUUCAACUCACUAAUCAAUAA